CACAUGCAAGUCGAACGGCAGCACGGGAGCAAUCUGGUGGCGAGUGGCGAACGGGUGAGUAAUACAUCGGAACGUGCCCAGUAGUGGGGGAUAGCCCGGCGAAAGCCGGACUAAUACCGCAUACGACCUACGGGUGAAAGCAGGGGAUCGCAAGACCUUGCGCUAUCGGAGCGGCCGAUGUCAGAUUAGCUUGUUGGCGAGGUAAAAGCCCACCAAGGCGACGAUCUGUAGCUGGUCUGAGAGGACGACCAGCCACACUGGGACUGAGACACGGCCCAGACUCCUACGGGAGGCAGCAGUGGGGAAUUUUGGACAAUGGGCGCAAGCCUGAUCCAGCCAUGCCGCGUGCGGGAAGAAGGCCUUCGGGUUGUAAACCGCUUUUGUCAGGGAAGAAACGCUCCGGGCUAAUACCUCGGAGUAAUGACGGUACCUGAAGAAUAAGCACCGGCUAACUACGUGCCAGCAGCCGCGGUAAUACGUAGGGUGCAAGCGUUAAUCGGAAUUACUGGGCGUAAAGCGUGCGCAGGCGGCUUUGCAAGACAGAUGUGAAAUCCCCGGGCUUAACCUGGGAACUGCAUUUGUGACUGCAUGGCUGGAGUGCGGCAGAGGGGGAUGGAAUUCCGCGUGUAGCAGUGAAAUG
rnacentral:rRNA from 1 species